rnacentral:rRNA from 1 species
GGACUACUGGGGUAUCUAAUCCCGUUUGCUCCCCUGGCUUUCGUGCCUCAGCGUCAGGAAAUGUCCAGAGACUCGCCUUCGCCACUGGUGUUCCACUUGAUAUCUACGCAUUUCACUGCUACACCAAGUAUUCCAGUCUCCCCUCCAUUCCUCUAGUCGAAUAGUAUCCAACGCAGUUUCCGAGUUAGGCUCGGAGAUUUCACGCCAGACUUACCCGACCGCCUACGCACCCUUUACGCCCAGUGAAUCCGAACAACGCUUGGGACCUCUGUAUUACCGCGGCUGCUGGCAC